rnacentral:rRNA from 1 species
GUGGGGAAUCUUCCGCAAUGGACGAAAGUCUGACGGAGCAACGCCGCGUGAGUGAAGAAGGUUUUCGGAUCGUAAAGCUCUUUCGUUAGGGACGAACGUGCUCUUUGUGAAUAAUGAGGAGUAAUGACGGUACCUAAAUAAGAAGCCACGGCUAACUACGUGCCAGCAGCCGCGGUAAUACGUAGGUGGCAAGCGUUGUCCGGAAUUAUUGGGCGUAAAGCGCGCGCAGGCGGGAUAUCACGUCUGUCUUAAAAGUGCGAGGCUCAACCUCGUGAGGGGACAGGAACUGGUAUUCUUGAGUGUCGGAGAGGAAAGUGGAAUUCCAAGUGUAGCGGUGAAAUGCGUAGAGAUUUGGAAGAACACCAGUGGCGAAGGCGACUUUCUGGACGAUGUCUGACGCUGAGGCGCGAAAGCUAGGGGAGCGAACGGGAUUAGAAACCCGAGUAGUCC